rnacentral:rRNA from 1 species
UGGCGAACUGGUGAGUAACACGUGGGAAACCUGCCCAGAAGCGGGGGAUAACACCUGGAAACAGAUGCUAAUACCGCAUAACAACUUGGACCGCAUGGUCCGAGCUUGAAAGAUGGCUUCGGCUAUCACUUUUGGAUGGUCCCGCGGCGUAUUAGCUAGAUGGUGGGGUAACGGCUCACCAUGGCAAUGAUACGUAGCCGACCUGAGA